GAGGUGAAUGGGUGAGUAGAGAAGUAGGUGGAGGAAUUUCACUUUAUUGUAUUUGAGUUUAUUUUAAGGAUCACACAAUGUCCAUCAACAUAGACAGAUAUCCACAUUCUUAGGUAAAGAGAUUGUUUUGUUUUUUCAGUUUGGUUUUUGGAUGUAUGGAAGCCCAUUCCUGCCAUAUAAGAUCAAAAGUCAGGAAUUGUAAAACUAAAACAAAUUGUCAGGGAAUGUCAAAAUGAUAUGAAGUAAGAAAAGAAAAAUGUGACUUUGUUAUAAGAGAGGUUUAAAUUCUGACAGAAAAUGGCAUUUAGUGGCAUAUAGCGGUAAAAUUGCAGAUUGCAACAAACUGAAUACCGCUCGCCUUUCAAGUGAAUUAAGAAUGCAAAAGGCCCUAUCUAGAGCUAGUGUUUGGUUUGUCUCUUCUGGGCUACUAUAGAAACAUUGCAUUGCUAUUUUAGAAACAUUGUUUACAGACUAAUCAGUAUAUGUCUUAGUUAGGCAAGCUAUAGCUUGUUUUUGUUAGCCAUAUGGUGGCAUGGCUCUACAGAUGGCAAUGUCACCACUUUGGUCACUUUGGUCCAGACUGAAAUAUCUCAACUGUUGGAUGAAUUAACUUUAAAAAAAGGAUGAACUGUAAUCACUUUAGUGACCCUCUGACUUUGUAUCACGGCAUCAUCAGGUCAGAGCUUUAAUUUGGCCAAUGCUUUGGUUUAUGACCAAAUACUUGCAAAUGACAUUCCCAUCGGUCUCAGUGGUACUUAUUACUAAUUAGCAAACGUUAAAGUGCUACAGUAACAGACUAAGAUUGUAAACAGUUUACUGUUAAAAAUUAACAUGCUAGCAUUAUCAUUGUGAGCAGCUUAGCAUGCUGACGUGAGCAUUAAGUACAGCCUCAUCAGCUUUGCUUCUCUUUUUCCUUUUCUAAUCUUUUAGUUUUUCACUUGUCAAAAGAAGAGACAGAUUAACAUGAAGUAGCUCCUGCUGGUGGCGCUGUUUUUGAACAGUUUUAGAGAUUUCUUUUUUUAAAUUUCCACUUCAUCCCUGCUUCCCCUCCACCACCACCACCACACACACACAGAGCAAACGCACACACAUUCCCUGCCCUGUUUCUGAUGUUGACCUUCGGCCUCUGACCUCUUAGUGGAGCGUGUCGAGGGUCAUCAUUAGACUGGUCUGGAGACUGUGGGAGACAUCCAGCACACAGCGCUCUGACUCUCUAGAUAGGAAGGUUUGAUAGUUGGAUUCUACUGAGGAUCGAUGUAUUGAAUUACCAUUACUGUCUGUCCUGUAAUUCACCAGCUGUUUUAUGGACUUUGAAAGUGUGUUUUUUUUAAGUCACUGAUUUAACUAGUUAAGAUUAUUUGACUUUGAAGGGUGUCAUUAUAACACUGUGUCUAUGCAGGAGGUGAAUAAAAUGAAACUUGUCUAUAUUGGAUCAGACAAAAUGUACUACAACAAGUUUAAGUAAAGUCUGAUUCAUUAGUUGAUCACACUCAACAGGUUAAUAGCUGGUUUGGGGUUAUGAACAAGUUAUGCAAUCUAUCUGGCAGAAAACAAAGGUGAUCAGUAAAAUUAUGACCCAGGUUUACUGACCCACUUCCUGCUUCCCUUUUGACCUGCUGUACUUACUGUAGUGUGCUCUUAUAUCAGCUGUGCUAUAUCAGCUUUCAGUUUGAGCUCCAAAUAAAGUCAUUUAGAUAAGAUGUUUCCAGAUCUCAGAUAUCAACUAUGUUGUAGAGUACAGUGUUAUUAUUACUGAAAGAAACGAUGGCGAAAACUACACAAAUAAUGACAUCCACAUCCUCAGAGAGCCUCAAACCAAACUGGAAAUAAAAGAUUAUUAGGUUGUGUCAUCACAGUCCUAUUGUCCUGGUGGCAUCUGUUGACUUCACACUCUACAAAGACACAAAAAUCUCAUUAUUAAAAAAUUAACAUUAACAAUUAAAAAAAGGAUUGAUCAGAUUGAUUUGAUACAUUAGUAGUUAUGUGACAUCUCUCAGUUUUGCAGCCCGCUUCUAUAUGGGAAUGAUGUCGCCAAAUAAAUAAUGCUGACAGGAAUGUGUUUACAAUAGACAACAACACCAAAAAAAGUAGCAUUUGUUAAGGAGGCUAAACUGCUGGCAGACUGUGCAGCUGACCAAAAGUUAAAAAUAAGGCUGAGGUUCUAACAGAGAG
rnacentral:lncRNA from 1 species